GUUACGAUACCUGUCCCUCGCGGUGCUGUGCUUUCACAGAAAUGAUGUAUUGUCUGAGUUCUGAUGCACACACUUUCUGGUGCCUUAUUAUGACAUCAUAUAUAUGUGGACCCCUCCCAUCAGUCUCCUUUUACAGUGUCAGCCCAUGUGUUGCUUUUUGAUGAUGUGUACAAACUUAUGAUAUCACGGUCCUCUGUGACCAAUCACUACCCAGUAUAGGGUAUAUAUACUUCCUGGUUGUCCUUGUUUUCUUGCCCUGUCGUGGUUUUUGUUACCCGAGAGUGUGUUUAUACCGUGUAUUGGAUUCCUAUUUUCUGACCUUGGUUUGUUUGGCUAUUGUUGCUCUCUGUUAU